rnacentral:snRNA from 1 species
UCUUGAUUCAGCAACACACAUGCAAAAUUGAAACAAUAUGGACAAGCUUAGAAUGGCUGCUGAGCAAAGACAGCGUGCAAAUUCAUGAAGUAUUCAUAUUUUCC